rnacentral:rRNA from 1 species
GACAGAGGGUGCAAACGUUGCUCGGAAUUACUGGGCGUAAAGCGCGUGUAGGCGGUCACGCGAGUCGGGUGUGAAAGCCCAGGGCUCAACCCUGGAAGGGCACUCGAUACUACGUGGCUUGAGUCCUGUAGAGGAGGGCGGAAUUCCCGGUGUAGAGGUGAAAUUCGUAGAUAUCGGGAGGAACACCAGUGGCGAAGGCGGCCCUCUGGACAGGAACUGACGCUGAGACGCGAAAGCGUGGGUAGCAAACAGG